UUGCCGGCGCCCGGGAAGCUGGCUAGAGCGAUGAGCUUCUUCGACUUGGCUGGGAGGAACCUUCUGUCCAUACAGCGGUUGUCUGCGGGGGGUGGGGGGAGGGCGGCAGAAGGGUCAGCACGGUGUGCCCUGGAGACAAGGUCAUAGUAGGAGGAGGAGAGGCACUGUGCUGUGUGGAGCGCACAGUAGGGACCAGCAUUAGUCCAGUAGGAGGACAAGCCUCCUGUCCAGUCUCAGUUGUCUCCAGCACAGCAAGUCUCUCACAAUCGGUGGUUGCAAUGGUUCAACUGGACUGGUAAGUCGAUGGGACCGAGAGCCCGCCUACUGGAGACUGAAGCCCCACCCACUGCAGCCCCUACCUGAGCCAGAAAGCUCUCUGGUGCCUUUUGGUGUCAGAAAACAAGGGUUAGGGGCCGUUAAGUGGUCAUGGACCACACCACACUUAAAAAGUUGCCUCUCCCUCUACAGAAAGGAGACUUAAAAAAAAAAAGAAAGUCCG
rnacentral:lncRNA from 1 species